UUUACUUUUCGUCAAUAUAUUGACGAAACCCCACCUUUUAAUUUUCACCGUUUUAACCUCAGUUUUAACUAACCUUGGUUUCCCACCCUACCUCAUUGAACGUGUUAGAAAAAAAAUCGUGUUGGACGCCAUUUUUUCAUUGCUUUGGUUGCGUUCGGUCGAUGAAGGUUCGUUUUCGAAGUGCUCGGUUUUUGAAGAAAAUUUGAUUCGAAUUUGCUGAAUCUGAAAAGAUGGGGUCUUGAAAAAGACUAGGCUGGCUGUCCGGUGCCCCGACCGAUGCUGGUUACGAUAGAGGACGAUGAUUAUUAUUUGGAGGAAGCGGUUUCUUCCGAGCAAAUCGUGAUUCUGACGGCCAGCAAAGAAAUCUCACGCACUUGCACAUAACCCCGCCGAAGGAGAGCUUUUCGUUUCAACGGCGAACGUUGGCCGGAAGAUGUGGCAAACCCUGACCAAUGCGUCCAGAAACAGUUCGUCGGGGAGAGGAGCAGGAGAAAAAAAUACCUGCAAACGAUUAUAAGAAGUUGGAAUAGGAGGCACAAGUGCCGCCGCACCUCAACCGACCCCGGAUGUUGUCAACCCCCUUCGGUCGUCUUCGGCAUCGGCUCUGUAAAAACUAAAUUCAGCAAUGAUCUCAUAAAGUGUUAUAUUUCUUCAAUUAUUAGUUUUUUGUGAAUAAAAUGCUAUUUUCUUUUUUGUUUUACUCCCCGCUACCAACCUUAAUCAGGCUGGAAGGGGGAAAGCUUUCAUAAAGAUGGCCACCUCGAUAGCUGAUGCACGGCCUCCGUAGUCCCCGGAACCGGCUCGAAAUUUAUUCGUGGGGAAUUCCCGGGGUAAUCUUCAGUCUAUUCUGGCAGAAUUCGGAUGUAGGAGAGAAGGGCACGAUUGCGGCUGGAAAAAUAAACAUGAUUUGUAAUCUAA